AGGCACAGAGUGGCUCCUUAAGUAACUUUAAAGGAGUCGCAGAAGCGAGACUCAGGAUUGGCUUGGGUGACGGUUUGUCAGGCUGCGUGGACCAAAGUCUGCGGAUGGGACUCCGGGAGUCGACCUCUGGGGGGAGGACCCAGUGUUCCUGUCAGUGGCUGGUAGCCUUUCCCAGGGACGCUGUGGGAUGCAGGGGAAGCCAGUGCUUUUCGUGAAUAUGCGUCUGUUCUGUCUCCUGUCAGGAAUGAACUCUCGAUGUGAUUCCCAUCUUGGAAGCAAAAACGUUGUUAUCCCUAUGAGGACGUUGAAAUAUGUCAAAGCAACGUUCAUUGCGUUGUUUGCUCCAUGGAGGGUCUGUUUGAUUUUUAGUAUGGAGACCCAAAACAAUUAGGAAGAUGAGAAGUUGCUAACUUUUUUUUUUUAAAUAAAGAUUUAUUUAUUUAUUUGAAAGAGUUUCACAGAGAGAGGAGAGGCAGAGAGAGAGAGAGAGAGAGGUCUUGCAUCUGAUGCUUCACUCCCCAGUUGGCCACAACAGCCGGAGCUGCAUUGAUGCGAAGCCAGGAGCUUCUUCCGGGUCUCCCACGUGGGUGCAGGGAUCCAAGCACUUGGGCCAUCUUCUACUGCUUUCCCAGGACACAGCAGAGAGCUGGAUCAGAAGUGGAGCAGCCAGGACCAGAACCGGCACCCAUAUGGGAUGCUGGCGCUUCAGGCCAGGGCUUUAACCCGUUGCGCCACAGCGCCGGCCCCAAGAAGUUAUUAACUUUUCACAUUGAAGGGGAGUAUGUUGGAUACUGUUUUAUUUUUACUCUUUGUUUACUUUUUAAAAAAUAUUUGCUUAUUUAAAAGAGUAACAGAGAGAAAGGAGGAGAACAGAGAUCUGCCAUCCGCUGGUUCACUCCCCAGAUGGCCACCUCUGCCAGCACUGGACCAGGCGGAAGCCAGGAGCUUCUUCCAGGUCUCCCACGUGGGUGCAGGGGCCCAAGGACUUGGGCCAUCUUCUACUGCUUUCCCAGGCACAGCAGAGAGCUGGAUUGGAAGUGGAGCAGCCGGGACGGGAACUGUUGCCCAUAUGGGAUGCCGGCACUGCAGGCAGCAGCUUCACCCACUAGGCCACACACGAGUCUCCUUUAUUUGCCUUCAAGAGCUGUGAUGUGUUACUCCAGAUUGGUGGUUAGUGGUCCUUCUAUCAACAGGAUGCAUUUGUGAAUGAAUUUUUCCUCUUUAGAGCAGAACAGUCUGCUCUCCUUGGGGACCACUAAGUUAAUUUUGGUGUUGGAUACCUUGAGAAUUCAUGGUGGCAGAAAAGCCUCUCGGGAAAGGUACGCCAGGCCCCAGGUGGGAGGAGUAGGUAGAUGCCAGGCCCCAGGUGGGAGGAGUAGGUAGAUGCCAGGCCCCAGCAGAGGCCGCUCAGCAGAGGCACGGUGCGGGCUGCUCCUAGCACCGCUGGAAAGUGGAGUUCUCAGAGUCCAUCACAGAUCAAGAUGCUGGUGGUCUGGAAGUUGGGUACGUAGAUCUGCGAAGUUGAUUGAAUCGUGAUGUGUCUUGUACUUUUCUCAACGUUGUUAGAGUUGAUGCUAAGCAGUGUCAUGUGAAGGCUGAAGUGUUGCACGUCAUCUCUAUUAGUGCAGGUAUCUUUUUUGUUGUUUAAUAUUUAUUUAUUUGAGAGGCAGAGUUACAGAGAGGGGAAGAGGCAGAGGACUUCCAUCUGCUGGUUCCCUCCCCAGAUGGCCACAGCAGCUGGAGCUGGGCUGGUCGGGCGCCAGGAGCUUCUUCCAGGUAUUCUGUGUGGGUGCAGGGGCCCAAGCACUUGGAUCAUUCUCCACUGCCUUCCCAGCCUCCCACAUCAGCAGGGAGCUGGAUCCGGAAGAGGAGCAGCUGGGACAUAACCAGCGCCCAGUGCGAAGCCAGUGCCGCAGGUGGAGGCUUAACUGCUACAGCACAGUGCGGGCCCCUAGAAUGUGUGCUUUACUGAAGGUUUUAAGUGCCGUGAAUCUUCACUGGGGGAAGAAUGAGAGCAUCUGAUUUGUCUCCUAGCCCCAUCUGUAGGAGAUGGCCUGAAGCAACCCAUUGCUGUGAUGGGCUUGCUUGCUUUUCUUUUCUUUUCUUUUUUUUUUUUUUUUUGUUGUUGUUGUUGUUGACAGAGUUAUAGACCGUGAGCGAGAGAGAGACAGCGAGAAAGGUCUUCCUUCCAUUGGUUCACCCCCCAAAUGGCCACCACGGCCAGCACUGCGCCGAUCCGAAGCCAGGAGCCAGGUGCUUCCUCCUGGUCUCCCAUGUGGAUUCAGGGCCCAAGGCCCUGGGCCAUCCUCCACUACCUUCCCGGGCCACAGCAGAGAGCUGGACUGGAAGAGGAGCAACCGGGACUAGAACCCAGUGCCCAUAUGGGAUGCCGGUGCCGCAGGCGGAGGAUUAACCAAGUGAGCCACAGCACCAGCCCCCGUGAUGGGGUUUCUUACUCUUGGCUUCAGAUAACCUUAUCUGACUCCUACCAGAGAGGCCGGCGUGCAAAGCAUUGCCAGGCAAGGACAGGCUCAGAUUCAUUUUGUAUCCAGUCGUCUUCAGUUGGCCCUCCUUCCACUGCAGAGACAAAUCUCAGGUUGAAUGAAGAUACUGAGGAGGACAGCACCAUGGCUCACUAGGCUAAUCCUCCGCCUAGCGGCGCCGGCACACCAGGUUCUAGUCCCGGUCGGGGUGCCGGAUUCUGUCCCGGUUGCCCCUCUUCCAGGCCAGCUCUCUGCUGUGACCCAGGAAGGCAGUGGAGGAUGGCCCAGGUGCUUGGGCCCUGCACCCCAUGGGAGACCAGGAGAAGCACCUGGGUCUUGGCUUCGGAUCAGCGCGAUGCGCCGGCCGCAGCGCGCCAGCCAUGGCGGCCAUUGGAGGGUGAACCAACGGCAAAAAGGAAGACCUUUCUCUCUGUCUCUCUCUCUCACUGUCCACUCUGCCUGUCAAAAAAAAAAAAAAAAAGAUACUGAGGAUUCCGCGUCUUCUGUGCUGGCUGGUCUUGGCAGGGCAGCAGCCCAGCCCUCCGUGGAGGACGAGAGAGUGUUGGCUUCAGUAGUGGCGCUUGAGAGGAAAAGGAGACGUGUCUGAAUUGGGUUUGACUUGAGUGUGUUAACUGAUCAUUACACGUGAGUAAUUCUGGGGGUUUGUGUGAAGCGUUCUGUUCCCAGGGCUCUACCCGGAGUCUUCAGGUGUUGCUGGCUGCUUUCUGCAUUACUGCUGUAGUACAGAAUAAUUUCAAAGUAGUCCUGGUUUUGCGUUUCAGAUGCAGUGAUUAAACAUUGACUGCUGGUGUAACUCUGCUAGCAGGUUAAAAUGUAACAAGGGUGCAGAAAUUUAGCCAGAUCAUAGCAAAACCUGGUUGUCUUUGUGGCUUUCACCAUGGGUAGUCCAUUUUGGGAAGGGAGUCCUGGACAGCUUUGGAGAAUUUUAAGUGGAAAAAUCAGUAACUUCUGUAACUUUUUUCGGUUAAAAUAAUACAGUCCCAGAAUUUGCUUGGUGUGUGCAAGGCCCUUUGCGGAAGAUUCAGAGGGGACACUGGGUAGACUGCUGAGGGUCGCGUUCGGAAGCACAAGUUAGCAUGAGUGUGCUGAUUGCCACAUGUGCCAUAUUGUGUUGGGUGCUGUUGGAAUAGCCACAUCCCUCCCUCACCUGCAACUCUGCCUGACAACCUGGAUCUAGCUUUUUUGUGGAAUAAUACUGUCUAUGGUUUUUUUUUUCUUAAAGAUUUGUUUAUUUUAUUUGAAAGGCAGAGUUACAGAGAGGCAAAGAGAGACAGAGAUCUUCCAUCCGCUGGUUCACUCCCCAGAUGGCCGCAAGAGCUGAAGCUGCCCCGAUCCAAAGCCAGGAGCUUCUUCCAGGUCUCCCAUGCCGGGUGCAGGGGCCCAAGGACUUGGGCCAUCGUCUGCUGCUUUCCCAGGCCAUAGCAGAGAGCUGGAUCGGGAGUGGAGCAGCCAGGACACAAACCGGCGCCUAAAUGGGAUGCCGGCACUGCAGGCAGCAGCUUUACCUGCUACACCACAGUGCCGGCCCCCUGUCUAUAUUUUAAAAGAACAUACUGAGGCAGGCAUUUGGCUUAAUGGUAAAGACCCUCACAUCCCAUAUCAGAGUACCUGGGUUUGAGCUGCAGCUCCUGACUACAGCUCAGAGAAUUGAGUUUCUGCCAUCCAUCCACAUGGGAGACCUGGACAGAGUUGCCAGCUCCUGGCUUUGCAGGCAUUUGGGGAGUGAGCCAGCAGGUGGGCGAGUGCUCAUUUUGUCUCACUCUCUCUCUCUCUGCCUUGCAGAUAAACUAAAGAACAUAUUCAUGCUUACUUUGUAACUCUGACCUUUAGUGUAUUUUCUCUUGAGAAAAAUGAAGGAAUGUAUGUGUGUGUGUGUAUAUAUAUAUAUGUAUAUGCAAGUAGUAUCGUUUGAGCACUUACACAGUAAAACACCAGCUAUGUUACUGUGAUGGAUGACCUCUAAUUUACAUGGGUGGAGUGGAAAGACGUAUCAAGAAGAUCGCUGCUCUGUCUUACAGAGAAGGGAGCUUCCAUUUGAUCCAGAAAUUGAUGUGCAUCAUCGCCAGCUGUAUUUUCUUUCUUAGUUGGGUUUUGAGAGCAAUAUUGUACCACAGUCCUUUGAGGAGGGAGAGUUGCCAAUUUAAACCAAUAAGCUAAUGGCUCUCUGUAGGUACAACUACCGAGCCUACUUUGCUCGCUUCAUUAUUGUGAGGAAGAGAAUCUUUGAAAUCGCAUCUUUUUUUUUAAACACCGAACGUUUAUUAUCUGGGAGUGGCUCAUCCAGAGGGUUCUGGGCUCUCCUUUAAGGUGAGCUGUCAGCUGGUACUGCAGUCAGUUUCAAGGCCUGCUUUCCAGUUCCCUAGCGUGGUCCUCGGUAGACCUCAGUCACUUGCAGGCUGGCGGCCCGAGAUCCCAGCUCCGCUCUGACUGUGGUCUGGGGGCCUCUGCGGGUGCAUCAGUUUUAAGGACUUUUUUAAAGUCUCUACUGGUGUCCUUUCUGUUUUAAGUGACAUCUUUGUUAUAUAUUUUUAAUUUCUUAUUGAAAUCUCAUUUGCCUACAGGUAGGGACAAAAAUCCCCAGUGUUCAGCUUGAUGGAUUUUUUACAAGGUAAACACUGCUUUGUAACCAGCACCCAAAUCAAUAGAUGUUAUCAGUGCCCAGGAGUCCUCUUGGUGCUCUCCCCCACCACCCCAGCCUGCCACGAGUAACUGCCUAUACCUCAUACUACCCUGUCGUUUGAUUUUUUUUUUUUUUUUUUGACAGGCAGAGUGGACAGUGAGAGAGAGAGACAGAGAGAAAGGUCUUCCUUUCGCCGUUGGUUCACCCUCCAAUGGCCGCCGUGGCCGGCGCACCGUGCUGAUCCGAUGGCAGGAGCCAGGUGCUUUUCCUGGUCUCCCAUGGGGUUCAGGGCCCAAGCACUUGGGCCAUCCUCCACUGCACUCCCUGGCCACAGCAGAGAGCUGGCCUGGAAGAGGGGCAACCGGAACAGAAUCUGGCGCCCCGACCGGGACUAGAACCCGGUGUGCCGGCGCCGCAAGGCGGAGGAUUAGCCUAGUGAGCUGCGGCGCCGGCCCUGUUGUUUGAUUUUUAAACACGCUUUCAGAAUUCGAGAGUAAGCUUCAGGCUAGGUGCAGAAGUAGUAGUUAGUAAGCUUUGAGACAUCUUUGUUUUUUCAUGAAGAAUCUGGUGGAAGUUGCCGAUGCCCUGGCGGGGGCUGGGACACAAAUACCGCUGCACCAGAUUUUGCCUACAGCCGAAGAAUGUUCAUGAGCCUUGACUUCAGGGUUGUCCCUUUUUGAUGAAAAUGUUGAUGUUUUAUUAAGAAGCUGAUUUACAGAUAUUUCUCUUUUGACAUAUUUGAAGGGUCAGUGUCACAUAGUAUGUGUUCCAGGGCAGUUACAUGCAAGAUGAAUUGUUUAAAUUUUAAUUUAAUUCAAUGUAAUUUGAAGAGAGAGAGAGCUUUCCCAUCUCUUGCUGAGCCUCCCGUGUGGGUGGCAGAUCUGACCAUCAGAGCCAGCACCUGCUGCCACUUGGGGUUUUUACCUGCAGAAAGGUGGAAUCAGAUGUGGAGCCAGGACCCAGAUCCAGGCUCUGAUAAUGGGACUUAAGCAUCCCAAGUUGCCACUUUUUUUCUUUUUUUUUUUAAGAUUUAUUUAUUGGGGCCAGCGCUGUGCUGCAGCAGGUGAAGCCGCCACCUGCGGUGCUGGCACCCCAAGUGGGCACCGGUUCGGGUCCCACUUCCAGUCCAGCUCUCUGCUAUGGCCUGGGAAAGUAGUAGAAGAUGACCCAAGUCCUUGGGCCCCUGCACCUGUGUGGGAGACCUGGAAGAAGCUCCUGGCUCCUGGCUUCGGAUGAGUGAGCUCUGGCUGUUGUGGCCAAUUGGGAAAUGAACCAGCAGAUGGAAGACCUCCCUCCCUCCCUCCCUCUCUCCCUCUCUCUCUCUCUCUCUCUCUCUCUCUGCCUCUCUCUGCCUCUCUGUGACUCUGCCUUUUUUUUUUUUUUUUUUUUUUUUUUUUUUGCCAGGCAGAGUUAGAGUUAUAGACAGUGAGAGAGAGACAGAGAGAAAGGUCUACCUUCCAUUGGUUCAUUCCCCUAAUGGCUGCUACAGCCAGUGCUGCACCGAUCCGAAGCCAGGAGCUGGGUACUUCUUCCGGGUCUCCCAUGCGGGUGCAGGGACCCAAGCACUUGGGCUGCCCUCCCGGGCAACAGCAGAGCGCUGGACUGGAAGAGGAGUAACUGGAACUAGUACCCGGCUCCCCAGCCGGGACCAGAACCCAGGGUGCUGAUGCCGCAGGCGGAGGAUUACCCUAGUGAGCCAUGGCGCCGGCCAUGACUCUGUCUUGCAAAUAAAUAAAUAAAUCUUAAAAAAAAAAAAAGAACAUUUUAAAAAUAUUUAUUUAUUUGAAAGGCAGAGUCAGAGAGAAAGAGAGACGGAGAGAGGUCUUCUGUCUGCUGGUUCACUUCCCAAACGGCCACGACAGCUGGACCUGGGCCACUGUGACACCACACCAGGAGUUUUUUUUGUUUGUUUUUUGUUUUUGUUUGUUUGUUUGUUUUUUGAAGAUUUAUUUUAUUUACUUGACAGGCAGAGUUACAGAGAGAGGUAGAGACAGAGAGGUCUUCCAUCUGCUAGUUCACUCCCCAGAUGGCCACAACGGCCAGAGCUGCACUGAUCCGAAGCCAGGAGCAAGGAGCUUCUUCUGGGUCUCCCACGUGGGUGCAGGGGCCAUCUUCCUAUCCCAGGCUAUCCCAGGCCAUAGCAGAGAACUGGAUUGGAAGAGGAGCAGCCAGGAAUAGAACCGGUGCCCAUAUGGGAUGCCGGCGCUUCAGGCCAGGGCAUUAACCCACUGCGCCACAGCUGCUGGCUCCCCAGGAGCUUCUUAUGGGUCUCCCACAUAGGUACAGGGGCCCAGGAACAUGGGCCAUCCUCCACUGCUUUCCUAGGUGCAUUAGAAGGGAGCUGGAUUGGAAAUGGAGCAGCCAGGACGAACCAGCGCCCAUAUGGGAUGCCAGCAUAGCAAGCAGUGGCUUUACCCGCUAUGCCACAGCACUAGCACGCUCCCCGCCCUGCCCCCCAUUCCAGGUGCCAUCUUAACCUCUACACCAAACGCCUGUCUCAGCAAACUGAAGUUUCAAAUACUGAACUAUAUUCUUCAUGAUGUUUAAUAGUGGCCAUUAAGCAUCUACUAAUGAUCUGUUACUGCUGUGCAGACACAUGGAAAGAAGUAGAAGACAUGGUCUCCUGCUUCCAGGGGCUUUGCCUUUGAACUGGGAAGAUAAAAGUAGCUCGGAUUAUUGCGUCGGGAGUUUGUGGUGAGACCGUGAUUUUGUCUUCGUGUUUGAGUGAACCUGUUACCUUCGCCUCCAUUGCAGUCCGCCUGAGGAACACAGUUACUCCUCACCUUGAUUCUGACUCACUAACAGGGAGUUCUCAGUGCAGUGAGGCUGGAACGUGGCCGCAGGGGCAUAGCAAAAUCUUGGGGAGAGAUAGGAGUUACAAAAAUACAGUCCUGAGCAUUUCCGUUUGCCCUUCACAGCUUCAUGUGUGUUUGUGUGUGUACACACAUGUGAGCAUGCACACAUCUGCCAUAAUAGAGAAAGGAUGUGUUUGAGGAAAGAAUGACAGUGUCACACUAGCAUUAAUCGGAUUUUUAGCUGCUUGCUACUUUAUACGAUCUCAUUUGAUGCCCACAGCAACUCCAUCGUAAGGUGGACAUUGUAGAAAUAAUUAAAAUGGGAGUUUUUCUUUUUUAAAUUUUUUGCUUACUUGAGAUACCAGCAGAAACAAAUGGCCACAGUGGCCGGGGCUGGGCUGGACCAAAGCCAGGAGCCAGAAAUGCAUUUCAGGUUUCCCUUGAGUGACAGGAACCUGAUUGAGCCAUCACCACCGUCUCUCAGGCACUGCAUUAGCAGGAAGCUGGAACUGGGGCAAGAGCUGGAUUUGAACCCAGGCACUCCAAUAUGGGGCAUGGAUGAACCACUCACUAGGCAAAGCACCCAUUCUGGAGUUUUUCUUGAAAUUGAUUGACUAAAAGACCAAGAGUCCUUGGAACAUUUGGAUGAUGAUCGUGGUGGUGGUAGUUAUUGUAAAAUUUAAUGUAGUUAAGGUUGAUGGAGUUAGUUGGGGAGUGGGGAAAGAGAAUGCUGACGUCUGACCCUUUAGGAAAAAGGGUGCUGACUUCUGGUAUCUUCUUUGGUGAUGUGCUCUCAAAUCUGUCGUCUUGACUUUUGGGUGGAAGCGGGGCUAACUCAGUAUGUUCCUUUCCUUUUCUUUUUUUAUUCAAUCUAUUUGAAAGGCAGAGUCACGAAGAGGCAGAGAGCGAGCGAGGUCUUCCAUCCUCUGGUUCACUCCCCUAAUGGCCACAGCUGCCAGAGCCGGGCCGAUCUGAAGCCAGGAGCUUCUUUCCGGUCUCCCACAUGGGUGCAGGGGCCCAAAUACUUGGGCUGUCUUCCAGUGCUUUCCCAGGCCAUAGCAGAGAGCUGGGUCAGAAGUGGAGCCGCUGGGUCUCGAACCAGCCCCCAUAUGGGAUGCUGGUGCUGCAGGCUGUGGCUUAACCUACUACACCACAGUGCCGGACCUCAGUAUGUUUCUAACCCAAGGCCAGCGUGGCAGGAACCAGAUCGGAAUUGGAAAUAACUUGAUGGAUUUUAUUGACCUGGCAGGUUCCUAUUGUACUGUCCAAGGUGGUAAGCAGUAGCCACAUGUCACUGUUUACAUUUAAAUUGAGAAUUAAGCUUUUCAAUCUCACCAUAUUUCGCAGAGCACCUGUGUCUGGUGGCUACCGUGUAUCGCACAGUGCCGAUAUAAAAUAUUUCUAUUAUCACAUAAAUUCCUGUUGUACAGUGCUAACUCUAGAAUCGGAAGAACUUCUGAGUGAACCAGAGAGAUGAGAAGCAGACAUGAACAUGGGCCACAGCAUUGCUUUCCUGCAUGCCAAUAAAACUCAGCCGGGUCUGCAUCCUCCCAGUGUGUGUAAAUACUUGAUUUAAUACUACUUCUUGUUCACAGAACAUAGUCCAUGUUCUGUUCUGUUCUUUUCCUAAGUGACGAGAGGAAACAGUUAACUCAUGAAAGAAAAUCAGAAUUUUACAGAUAGUGUUUUAGGGAUUUAAAUAAUUAAAAAAAAAGCUUGAGUAUAUCCUUUCCCAAAGCAGUUUGCAAAAAUAAGCCUUCUAAAAUUCUGCUGUGUUUGUAACCAGCUUGUGAAUGAGAGAAUAUUGAGCGUGCAGUCUGAUGGACUAGCAAUCCUGGCUCCUUCAGCUUCCAGCUUUAGGGUGCCACUGACUUUACAGUUCUUCAUAAUGAUAACUUCAGUUUUGAAAAUACCCCAAAAUAUCCUGCGUUAAAGUGGUUAAGUUGGUCUCUUUUAAGAUGGAAUUUAAAAGCAUUUCUUUACCAGAGACUGCUUCAUAUGAUCCUCCUGUUAGGGACAGACCUAACUAAUGAUUCUGAAUAGUGAAGUGGAGGUCAGUAAACACAUUACUGAACAGUCCUUCUCUUCUUUGGCAAGCAUACUGUGUAAUUAUUAGGGAUUAUUUUGUUAACAUAGAGGUGUUCUCAGAGCAGUUUGUAAGUUUUUGGUGAUUCAACACUUGUUUGAGUGUCUUCCUGCUCUGUCACAGAUCAGGUUUGCUGAAGGUAGGCAUCUGAGUGCAUCGGCUAACACUGCGAGAGUGACGUAGCGGUUCUCGUAAUGUUCUUGUGUUAAGUAUAAGGAAAUAUGUAACAAAUGAGUAUUUUAGAGGUUUUCAGAAAGGUAAGUUUUAAAACAGCUUCUGUCAUUUCUGAUUUCAAGCAUAUCUUGUCACGUCUUAAACCCACCUGAUGUCUCUGAUAUGUACCCUAAGUGUGUCAUCUGUUUGCUAUUUUGAAAAAUAAUAUUGUUUAGAAUAGUACUUGGGGGCCAGCGUAGCAUUGUGGCGCAGUGGGUUAGGAUGCCUCCUGCAGCACCACUGUCCCCUAUGACUGCUCGUUUGCGUCCCAGCCUUUCCACCUUGCAGUCCAGCUCCCUGCUAAUGGCACUAGGAAAGCAGUGGAAGGUGGCUCAGCAUUGAGUGCCUGUCACACACGUGGAAGACCUGGGUGGAGUUUCUGGCUCCUGGUUUUGGCCUGGCCCAGCCACAGUGGGCACAGCCAUUUGGAGAGAGAAAAGCAAAUGGAAGAUACCUUUCUAUCGCCAUCUCCCUCCCUCUUUAACUCUGCCUUCAAAUAAAUAAAUAAAUAAAUAAGUUUUUAUUUAAAAGUGGGAACAGUGCUUGUGUUAUCAUCUUGGUGAUAUGGUGAAAUAGAAGCAAUGAUCAGUACACACUCCUUUCACCGGUUUCUGUUUGUUUACUGUUUAUUUGAGGGCCAGGGAGCUCCCAUUAUCUAGUUAACUCCCCAGCUGCCUGCAGUGCCUAGGGCUGACCUGGGGCCAAGCCGGGGCCAGAGCUGGGAGCCAGUAACUUAGUCCUGGUCUUCCAUGGCUGCCUUCAUUAGCAGGAAGCUACAGUUAGCUUCAAUUAGAAACAGAGCCAGAUUUAACCCAGAUACCCCCACGUAGGGCACAAGCAUUUUGACCACUAAGAUAAACACCCUCCCUCAGCUGGUAUUUUAAUGGUGUACUUUCUGAGCUGUCUGUAUACCAGAUUGCUGGACAGUGGCAACGUGAAUAUGAUGAAGACGCAGUGUCGAUGAGGAUGUUAAUGGCUGGGAGUGUAUGUCAGUAAUGUAUAGAAUGGCAUCGGUGAAUGACAGGACCGCCAGGCCUCCCUUGAAGAGUCUGGAAAGGCUUCCUAAGUUGGUGGGUGAUUAAGCCAGGUCCAAGAACACCUGCCAUUCUUCAGGUCAAUAAGCGUGCACCAGGCAAAGAGUGUGCCAUAGGAAAAUGGAAACCAGGGUCGCUUCUGUAUAGGGACUAAAGAGAGGCAAGGUGAGAAAUGAGACGGAGGGUGGGAAGGGAGCAGAAGACGAGGAGCCCGUUGUUGUAAGCGGUGGGAUGGUGUAGAAAACAGACAAGGAGAUGACGCAGUAGUUUGCCUGAGAAAUAACUGAGGCCAGUGUGGCACUCUGAGCACCCGUUUGAGUCCCGGCUGCUCCACCUCUGCUGCAGCCCCCUGCUAGUGCACCUCGGGAAGCAGUGGAAGAUGGCCCAAGGGCUUGGGUCCCUGCACCCACAUGGGAGACCCAGAUGAGUUUCAGCCUCUUCGGUUCAGUCUGGCCAGUUCUGGCUGUUGGAGCCAUUUGAGGGGUGAACCAGCGGAUACAAGCUGGCUCUGAGUGUGGGUGUCUCUGUCUCUGCAACUCUGCCUUUCAAAUAAGUAAAUAAAUACUUAAAAAACAAAACAAAAUCCUGAGGCCUGAACUGAAGUAAUAGCUGCAGAGAUGGACGCUAGGAGGUUGAUAUUACCCGGGUUAUCCCACAGGGCUUGGCUACAGCUGCAUGUGUGGAGGGAGGGGCAGGCUUCCACAUUCUGGACAGCUGAGUGAACAAGAUGUUGAGGAAGAGGGUAGGGUCAGGCUUGUAUACGUGGAGUGUAAGCUGCUUAUAUACUUUUUUUUAAAAAAAGAUUUUAUUUAUUUAUUUGAAAGGCAGAGUUACAGAGAGAGGCAGAGAGAAGUCUUCCAUCCGCUGGUUCACUCCCUUAAUGGCCACAACAGCCAGAGCUGUGCCAGUCCGAAGCCAGGAGCCAGGAGCUUCUUCUGGGUCUCCCACAUGGAUGCAGGGGCCCAAGAACUUGAGCCAUCUUCUAGCUUUCCUAGGCCAUAGCAGAGAGCUGGAUCAGAAGUGGGGCAGCCAGGACUAGAACUGGCACCCAUAUGGGAUGCUGGCACUGCAGGUGGCGGGCUUACCCGCUACGCCACAGUGCUGGCCCUGCUCAUAUACAUUUGAGUAGAGUUGUCCAGUAGGCAGUUGUUUAUCUGUUAUCAAGUUGGGUUAGAACCUGUGUUUUCAUAGUGAAAACUCAUCUCAGUAGUCUUCACAUGACGUAAAUGGUAAAAUGUUGGCUGCUUGCAGUAUGUACCUCUUAUUUCUUACUAACUUAUGGGUAGUGCAAGACGUGAGUGCAGCCCUGAUGCUCUGUUGCAGUUUGUUUGCCUGAGCAGCCUCAGAUUCUGUUACUGUGGUUCAGAGUAAGAUGCUCUGGACACAGCAUCGGUAUUGGCCUGUGUUUAAUAUACUGGUAGGCAUUCAGUGCAAAAGAGAAGAGGUCAUAUUCUCAGCAACUGGGAGCAGCCGUGCAGUGUUACCACAGUGAACACUGUUUCCUGAGGUAACUGAAACAGGUUCUGCUUUAUCUGUCCUUGUUCUUUUUUGUCUCUCAAUCCCAUUUUUAACUUUCGAGAAACCAGAUUUGUUUUUCUUUAUCCUCCAUCAACUGUUGUUUCAGGGACAUCCAGAAAAAAACUCCUACAGAAGAUUCUUCUGACUCCUCUGUUCUGCAGUUUGCCUGGUUUUCCUUAUUUGCUGGCUUGGUCAGUCCCUGGAAAGCAUUUUUUACAGAUCAUAUAGUAGUACACACUUGAACAGCACACUGAUGCUUUAUAGAACUGUUAAGGGACAGUUUUAGGAUUCCAGAGGAGGAGAGUGUAUGGCGCAUGCAUGCCAAAACCUCUUAAGAAAUGUGUACUCAGUACUCUUUGUUACUUUUUUUGUCAGAGGCUAAAGAUGGAACUUUGAAUUCUUUGCUUCUCUGAAUCAAAGUUCAGGGUUCUAAGAUUAAGUAUUUGUGAUUGCUUUCAUCUUUUUUCCCUUUAAUGUUCUGAUUUGAAUUUCUUCUUUCUUGUGAGUCUUCUGAAGGAGUACAUGUAGUGUUUGGGGUUUUCUCAUGGGAAAAAGAUAAGGAAAGCUUAGAAGAUUUCUUCAGAAUUUUUAUGCCAGUAAAUAGUUGCUGUCCUCUCCCUUUCUGCCUGUGUCUCUUUUAUUAUUUUUUCCCCAAGUUGUAUUUAUUACUUGAAAAGCAGAGAGACAGAGAUCUGUUAUCCACUGGUUCAUUCCCCAAGUGCCCACAAGAGCCAAGAGCUGGGAACACCAUGCAGGUCUCCCUUGGGGCAGGGACCCAACUACACGGCCAUUACCUACUGCCUCGCGUGCUGCCCAUUAGCAGGAAGCUGGAACAGGAGUGGAGCUGGGACUUGAACUCCGGCGAAGGCCCAAGUGUUAUCUCAACCACUUUGCUGAAUUCCUGAGUCCAUUCUUCCUUUUUGUUAGGAAGACCAGAGGAGAUGCUCAGCCUUAAUGUGCUAGCAGCUAUUCUCAGAAACUAAAAGCUGUCCAUUGUAUCUGUGAGAUACCGGUAUAAAGAAAACAUACAAAAUGGGUGCAUUCAAGGGAAGUUGGGGGUCCUGUGUUUAAUAUUCACAUUGACCUCUGUGAGAGGAUCUAGAUUGUGUUUCUUUGCAUAAGGCAAGAAAGUAUUAAUUGGCCAGUGGUACACGGUGUAGCGUACUGCCAGGAUUGUAGGUGUGUGUCCUCUGAGGUUUUAGGGAACACUUGACAUCUUUCUCCUCGUUUUGCUGGCUUUUACAACGUUAUUGUUGUCGCUGUGGUUUAAUAGAUGAUGUGUUACAGUUUGGAAUUCCUCUAAUUUAGGUUUCAAAGCUGUGUAAAUCAUUAGUUCCCGGUUACAUAUACAAGUUUGUUUAACACUUAAGUGUUGCUCUGACCCUUGCUUUUAAACAGAGACAGCAAACAGUAGCUUCAUGUUUAUUUCUUUUUUAAUGGGGUAUAUUAAGAAAGCAUUUCUAAGCCAGUUAACAUUUCUGUACCAGAUCUACAGUUUUUUUUACCCACAGCUAAAUAUUUAGAAUGUUUUAUUUAUGGAUACAGUAAUUUACUACAUGCCUAUGAUAACCAAAAUAAUAUUGUUAUCAGAUUAAUGAAGCAGGAUUAGUGUGAUAGUUUUUAAGCUAGAUGAGAAACUUUAUUUGUGGACAGUAGCUAGCUGUAUACAGCCUUUUUUUUUUUUUUUUU